rnacentral:rRNA from 1 species
AACGAACGCUGGCGGCAGGCUUAACACAUGCAAGUCGAACGGUUGUAGCAAUACAGCAGUGGCAGACGGGUGAGUAACACGUGGGAACCUUCCUAGGGGUACGGAACAACUCAGGGAAACUUGAGCUAAUACCGUAUACGUCCGUGAGGAGAAAGAUUUAUCGCCCCCAGACGGGCCCGCGUAGGAUUAGGUAGUUGGUG